UCCUGGUGGCUCAGAUGAUAAAGAAUCUGCCUGAAAUGCAGGAUACCCAGGUUUGAUCCCUGGGUCAGGAA
rnacentral:tRNA from 1 species